GUAAAAUACUCAAUGGGUCUGCUCUCCUGCAGGUAGCAUCAUCAUGUACGGAGCGCUCCUCCUCUUUGAGUCUGAGUUUGUUCACAUUGUCGCCAUUUCCUUCACGUCGUUGAUUCUCACAGAGUUACUGAUGGUGGCACUGACGAUCCAGACUUGGCACUGGCUCAUGAUAGUGGCUGAGUUGCUUAGUCUCUCCUGCUACAUAGCUUCUCUGGUCUUCUUACAUGAAUUUAUCGAUGUUUACUUCAUUGCUACUUUGUCGUUCUUGUGGAAAGUCACUGUCAUCACUCUGGUGAGCUGUCUUCCCCUCUACGUCCUGAAGUACCUGAGGCGAAGGUUUUCUCCUCCAAGCUACUCAAAGCUCACAUCCUAGGGCUGCUUUCCUUCUGCACCAGAGACAAAUGCUGCACAUGGCUGAGAGGCAAAAAUCGUGUAGUUGUUACUAAAACAAAUACGUCUGAUAUUUGCAUAAGGAUCAUGUGGUAAUCUCUAUUACAUGCUGCUUCAUUGAAAAAGACUUCACAACUACCAUGAAUGGAGACUGAUUGGUACAAGGGAGUUCUUCGGAGUCUGGAGGCACUUAUUAGUUCAGCCACUUUUUGUCACUUUUGUUCAACUUAACUGGGGUCAAAUGCAUGCAGCUAUGGUGAUGGUUGGUUUCUCACUUGUGGUUAAAAGCAUCCAAAAGCUGCUAACUGACCUCAAAAUUUAUAUUUGACAAUUUUUAAUUUUUUAAGUACCUGUGGUGUUCCUUGCAAUGUGUUGUGUAGUUUUUUAUUCAUCUUUUCGAUUCAAGUAGGUACGUUCUUUUUACGUCUUGGAAAUCCCUUAAUGUAGGUGAUGUGCUGUAGUGCUGACCACAGAUUCCUGAUUUAUGGCAUGCUGUUCCCAUAGUGGGGCUCCAGUCUACACAUGCUUGAGAAUCUGAGCUUGUCUGAGAUUUUCUGUCAGUGCUCACCCUAGUGAUUUUGGUGGUAUCCAGCCAUCGAUAACUACAGAGAAAUGUAAUCCAAAAUGAAGAAAUGGAGUUUUGUUUAGCUUUUGUGCUUCCUGUUAGAAGGAGCUGGUGACAUAAUAGCUUUACUGUAUAUUUAUUUGUAUAGCAGAGAAUUAUCUAAACUAAAGCAAAUUUCCUUUGGAAAAAAAAUUUGCAGUUGAUCAGACUUGAAAUGUGUUGACAAUGUGAGAAGAGACUUGUACUGUUCUGCAGACAAUGUGGCAGACUGUCUUGAAUCCUUGGAGACUGAAAGGAAAGGUCACAGAGCUGCUGCUCCUCACAGCUCUACCAGGUCUGUUUCCUGUUAGGGCGGAGCAGUGAAGAUGGGCUGCAAAUAAGCGGAGGCGCUCCUGGGUGGAUGUUGUUCGUGACAAAGUCCCUACAGGAGGCAGUUUUUGAGAACCUUCCGCGUGCUUCGCUCUAAAAAACCGAACUUGAAUCAGAGGCAGGAGCAGGGUCUGUACAAAGGCAUUAGGUUUGUAUGCAAAGCAAAAAAUAGAUAUAUUCUUUAAAUCUGGUGAGUUUUGCUUUUGUAGUGAGGCUCAGCCCCCAUUGUAACGCAGUGAGAAUGGCUGCACAUGCAGACAGCUCAGGAGAACGGCAGUUACAGGAACCUUUUGCUGCUGGGGCUGUGCAUCAAUCAUGGCCCAGCUUGUAUAGUGGCAGCCAUCCUCAUCUAAUGGCCGUUCAGUCUGUGAUAAAUUAGUUGCUUUCUGUCUCGUUCCCACAUCACAAAAACCACGGUGGUGGCUGGCACUGCCUGGCGCGGCGAUGGGAAUGGCGGAGCUGUGUGCCUGCACACCCCGGGCUGUUGGGGCAGCGCGUCCCGGCCGGGCCCUGCAUGGAGCAGACGCUCCUGCUCGUCUCUGUGCCACGCAGGGCGCCUUUCAUGGACUGCCAGCUUCUGCUGCCAUUGCCGCAGCCGCUGUCGCAAACGGCAUGAAAGGCUCUGGUGUGAAAAGCAGUGGAAAAUGGGAGCGUUGUUUCGAAAGGAGAGCCGGAGUCUCUGUGGAUCCAUAGUGGUACGUCUCGGGUUUUCAAGUUUAAGAUCGCUGUGGCUUGGGUGGUGAUUGCUCUGAGGAACGCUUUGGAUGACCUGGGCACCUUUCCUUGUUCUCAGUUGUGGAGAGGAAAUAUCAAAGAGGAGGGAAGCAAGUUCCAAAGGAAUUAGAGAAGAAAUAAAAAUUUGUGUAGCCUGGGGGUGAGGAAGCAGCAGGCCUUGUUGUUAUUUCAUGUGAGGAAAACUCCCUGAGUUCAGAAAGGCGUUUUCAAAAUGCUGCCUUUCAUUCCUUCUCUUCUGAAUUGUUCCUAAAAAUAAUAAUAGUAUAACAGUAUGCAUUUCCACCCCUCUGACACACGGUUGUUUUGGGAAAGGUGCUGUAAGUCCUACAUCGCUCAGUGGUUUGUCUCCAAGGAUAAAAAGCAGUGUCUGUGCAGCCCCAUUUUGGAACAGUUGGGCUGGCAGCGUUUUGUGAAGGAUGCCAUGUGCCAAAAGGUGCUUCAUGUUAUCUUCAUUGCGACUUGCUGCAAUUCCUGAAUGGUGUCAGACGUGCAGAUGUUCCGAGUCCCCGUCAAUAUCCGAUUUAAGUAGAUUUAAGAAGAAGAAUCAAGAAUUCUUUGGCAGUUUCUUGCCACCAAGAAGUCCCUCUCGUCCUUCAGAAGAUACAUCGUGGUACGCAUCUGUCGGAUCCCCAUCCCUGUGUGUGCGAACGUCCCUCGGGGACAGCAGUGCUGCGCUACCGCCUGUAAAUAUUUCAGUUGUGUCUGUGGUAGAAUUCACUGUUUCCCAAAGUCAGUACAGUUUACACUGAGUGGACCAUAUUUGCAAAAUACUAGCUUACACCAAGAAAGGGAGUGACCUGUGAUUUCAGUAACAUUUAUUGCAUCACAACCUUAAUGCUGAAGGCCCGUUUGGUGGCAGUGGAGCAGUCUGUGGCUGUGUCCUGGGGAGGAGGCGGUGUUCCUUUGCACAAGGUUGUAAACCAGGAAGAAAUUUCUCUCUGGUUAGACGCUGCCUUUUUUAAAGUAACCAGAAAAUUAAAACUGCCAUCUAAAGAACAGUAGGAGGGAGGAGAGACUGUUGUAUGUUUCAAGUUUAGCACUUUACAUCCGCAGUUUAUUUCUCUUAAGUUAUUUAAACAUCUUGUUGAAAGCAAAGUUUAAUGAACGUGUUCCUGCUUACCGUACACGUGAAUAAAUGCAUUCUCUGUUGGAAACUUAAUUUAAUCUCUUCCAUCUAGUGUGAUCAUUAUUUGUGCUUCUCGGAAGCAAAGCAUUGUUUCCUUCUUGUAUGCAGUACCUUGUGUGUAGAUUCAAUCAGUGUUCUCUUCCCUCCCCUUCUUGUUGUUCUGGUUUAUGUACUGCAGCAGUUUGUGCAACGUGUGAGCUUUGGGACUGCGCCCCAAGCGCUGCUGUGGGAUGGCAGUGCCUGGGGUGCUCCUGUUCCCCUGCCUGCUGUGGGGAAGCUGUGCUGUGCUUAAUGGUGUGAAGGUUUUGUGACACGCAUUGUUCUGUUCUUACAUCGCUGCAGUAAUUCCAGGUGUGUUGCAACCCUUUUCAUUCUUUUUUUUCCUUUACUCUCACAUGCAUUUCCCAUGGUUUGCCCCAGGUUAUCUUUGCAAACACUUGUUCUGCUCAGCUUGUAUUGCAAUUGAAUUGUAGCAUUCUUUAUUCAGUAGCAGCAGCUUGAAUCUGAGCACAGCCUUAUCAGAACUGGGCUGAGUGAUGAGUGACAUCCCUGGUGUCCUCUCAGCGCUGAGAGCUACGUGCUGAGAGCUGCAGCUGUGGCUGGAUCAAACUGAGCAGCACCGACGGUGUUGUUUGUCUGUGGUCUUCUGCACGAUCACAAUUAAAUGCUGUUACAAACUCCUCUGCCCUCUGCAACUCUUGAAGGGACUUUUGCUAUGGUUGAUCAGGGAGCUGUGUUGAGUUAGAUGUGUGAAUCCCUAGAGCUCAUAUUCUGGCUUUCUCUUUUAAAGAGAGCUGCUGCGUCACGAGAUGCAUCAUAAAUCCUUUGUUUGCACCAGCAGUGCUCAGCACCAGGCAGGUGAGCUGCACUGCAUGCAGCUCGUUGUCAUGUCUUAUUGCACACAGCCCUUCAGGUGGGGUUGGUGCCUCUUCACGGCUGCGUAGUGAGGGCCAUCUCAGGGCCUGCUGGGACCUUCAGCGUCAGCUGGAUGGGCUCAUUUAUUUUGUAUUUAUUAUUAGUUUCUUUGGAGUUAAUAAACCCUUUGAUUUGCAUGAAAUCCUGGGUUCUUCAGCUUUGCCAAUAUGGUCCAUUACUACUGCCUACUACAAUUUGUGUACUUAUAUGCCUUUGAGAACAUUUCUAAUUGUUAAAAUUUGUUAAAAAUUAAAUGUUAAUUUAAUUUUAAUUGGGGGAGAUGGAUUCUGGUGUCAAAAUGAUAUUUACUGUGAUGCCAAUGUUUUGUACCUGUCAUCUAGUUAAACAACGUGUAAAUAUACUCUCUGUUCAAGAGAAAUAUGAAUGCCAAUUAUUUAUUGUUCUGUGGAGUUGUACGUUGCAGAUGUGUAAGAACUUAAAAGGGAAUGUUGUAAAACAAGGUGGAAAAAUAAAUUUUAUGCAACUUCUCUA